rnacentral:rRNA from 1 species
UGGGGAAUUUUUGGGACAAUGGGGGGCGAACCCUGAUCCAGCGAUGCCGCGUGGAGGAAGAAGGUUUUCGGUAUUGUAAACUCCUGUCUUAAGGGACGAUAAUGACGGUACCUUAGGAGGAAGCUCCGGCUAACUACGUGCCAGCAGCCGCGGUAAUACGUAGGGAGCGAGCGUUGUCCGGAAUUACUGGGUGUAAAGGGAGCGUAGGCGGGAUUGCAAGUCAGAUGUGAAAUGUAUGGGCUUAAACCCAUAAACUGCAUUUGAAACUGUAGUUCUUGAGUGAAGUAGAGGUAAGCGGAAUUCCUAGUGUAGCGGUGAAAUGCGUAGAUAUUAGGAGGAACAUCGGUGGCGAAGGCGGCUUACUGGGCUUUUACUGACGCUGAGGCUCGAAAGCGUGGGGAGCAAACAGGAUUAGAUACCCUGGUAGU